AAAUAAUUUUCAAAAAAAAAAACCUGCGAAAGAUUCAGCUAUCUGGGUGUAGCUAGUGAAACAAGAUUGAUUGCUUCAGUGAAUUGUUUUACUGUCGAGGGACUUAAAUAACCCAUUUAACAUUACACGAGAACGGACUCCUUCUGGACCGUUUGCGGCGUCUCUUCCCUCAGAUCACAGAGAGGAAAUCAUCAUCUUCAUCAUCUUCAUCAUCAUCAUCACACGGACUCAGAUGUCCCGCGGCGCUGCGUCGGUGAAAUUGGAUAUUUAAGGCAGCGCAGAAAGCAGUUCACAUUCACUCUCCGCGGCGCGCGGCCAGAGAGACGCUCUGCAACUGACUGACAGAUAAUAUGAGACUACAGUCUUGAGAACGAACGACGCUCCAUAACGUGACCGGGAGGAGAACGAGGUACACGGACUCUGUGAGUCCUCGGUGAACGCGGAGGCUGCUUGAGGAGGACGGUGGAUGACCGCGAGCGCUCACUUCAGAAGAGCGCGUGUCACUGAACUCAGCUGCAGCAAGGCAGCAGAAGCAGAAGAGCUGAAGGUGACCUGUGGCUGGGCCGGGGGCUGCAACACAGGACAUGGGAGCUGCCUCUCACUCCCGCUCGUGUCUUGUGUUGCAGCCAGUGGAACUGCUGCACUGUCCACAUCAGAGAAGGAAGGAAGCAUCGCGCUCUGGGAACAUUACACCAUCUUACAGUUGCUGUCUGUCAAAUCUUUGCUCCUCUCAUCUUCUUCUAAAAGGAAAACACAGAGCUGAUAAUGACAUCAAACAGGCUUCCAUAUCGACUGAUCGUCCCAGUUGUCAUCGUAAAACAUUAAACACUCGGAGUGGAAAGAAGACUGCGGGAGGGGCAGCGGAAACACGGGGAGGUGAAAUGGAGGACAGGGAAACCAGACAAGGUGACUAUCUGUGCCAGUCUCUUUCAGACUGCUGACUACAUCACACUCCCUCUCUCUUCUCCAUCAUGGUUUAUUCAUUCCUCACCCCGGGGCUGGAAAACCUUCUGCUAACAGCCGUGUCAAGAAGUAGCCUAAAUAUGCUUAGUGGCAAAAGUUAUCUCUAUGUUAUGUUAUGUUAAUUGAACCAAAGAAGCGAGAUGGCUGUAGUUAAAUGUUCAGUUAGAUUUGCUUGUGUACAAAUCUACUACAUCAUGCAAAAUAAUUUGAUUUUUUAGCUGCUGAUCUGCUAUUGUAAAAGACAACAAAUACAUUAAAUAAAGAGUUUUAAUAAUGUGUUUGUAAUCGUAUACAGGGAUCCAGUACUUUGUUUAUUUCGUUAGUAUCUUCUUCAGGCAGCUGGCGCUCCGUGUCUCAUUCAGACCAACCAGAUCUCAUGGAAAAAAACGUAACUAUUUCAUGAGGUGGCAUUUUUGUAUGAUUUCAUAUAAGGUAAAUCAUUUGAAAAAUAAUUUGAAAAAAACUAAUUUAAUGGUGGGUGUUCAUGCUUUCUUUUUUCAAGGUGGCAAAUUUGUAUGAAUUUGUACAAUGUGAAAUUACCACCUCAAAAAAUAGUUACACUUUUCUGUGAGAUUGAGUUUCCUAAACAUAACCGUCACUGUACGAAAAUGUGUACAAAUUACAUUGUAUGAUUUCAUAGAAAUUAGUUUAACAACAACAACAAACACUUGUAGAGACCAGAAUUGCUUUCUAGAAGUGGGCUUCUAACUAUGCAGCAAUGCGCUAGAUAGCAUGGAUGUAGCAACACCCUAACUACCACUCAGAACACCUUAGCAACCACAAAGCAAAGCCAUGGCAAACCCACAGAUAAAAAAUGUGUUACAAUCAUUUUGCUGGUGAAACAACUGUUUUAGUCUGAAUGUUGUCAUCUCAUGUAAACUCAUAACAUUUUCCAGACUGAUAUUGGUGCGAGCGCUGGGGAUGUUGGUUUGAUGGCCAACAACCAUGAAAGCACCUCAGCGUGCAGCAGCACUGAAGGAUUUCAUUGUACUCGCUUUUGAUAAAUGUGAGGGGGAGUGAAGCCAGGAACAAUUCCAGCAGUGUUAUCAGGAGCAAACAGGCAGAGUCAUGGGGCCCCAUCUGCAGGAACGAGAUCGCAGCCAUGUUGCUCACUUUCCUGCGCGAGCGUGGACAGGCCGUGACUCAUUCAGCUGGCAGAGGGAAGCCGAUUCUCCAGAGCAUCUCCUAGACUGCCAACUUAUUUAUUGAUAAAGACAAGUGACCCUGUUUAAACAGGCAGCAUCAUCUUUCCUUAUUUUCACUCCACAAAUAUAACCCAUGUUUAUGUCCAUUUAUAUAUAAAUAUAUAUUUUACAUGUAUAGAUAUUAAUAUAUAUGUAUAAUAUUUUAGAAUAUGGAUGUAUAUUUAUCAAUAUAAUGUAAUUGUUAAAAUAUAUGGGGGAAAUUCAGGUUAAUUGGGAUAUUCAGUCAUCAUCUCAAUAGCAAAAAGUAUCCUAAUUUACCUGAAUUCACCCUAAUAAUAACAAUACAUAAUGUAGAAUAUAUGUGUGUGUGUGUGUGUG